GAUGAACGCCGGCGGCGUGCCUAAUACAUGCACGUCGAGCGAACGGACGAGAAGCUUGCUUCUCUGUUGUUAGCGGCGGACGGAUGAGUAACAAGUGGAUAACCUACCUAUAAGACUGGGAUAACUUCGGGAAACCGGAGCUAAUACCGGAUGAUAUUUUGAACCGCAUGGUUCAAAAGUGAAAGACGGUCUUGCUGUCACUUAUAGAUGGAUCCGCGCUGCAUUAGCUAGUUGGUAAGGUAACGGCUUACCAAGGCAACGAUGCAUAGCCGACCUGAGAGGGUGAUCGGCCACACUGGAACUGAGACACGGUCCAGACUCCUACGGGAGGCAGCAGUAGGGAAUCUUCCGCAAUGGGCGAAAGCCUGACGGAGCAACGCCGCGUGAGUGAUGAAGGUCUUCGGAUCGUAAAACUCUGUUAUUAGGGAAGAACAUAUGUGUAAGUAACUGUGCACAUCUUGACGGUACCUAAUCAGAAAGCCACGGCUAACUACGUG
rnacentral:rRNA from 1 species